rnacentral:rRNA from 1 species
GACAGAGGGUGCGAACGUUGUUCGGAAUUACUGGGCGUAAAGCGCAUGUAGGCGGCAGCGCAAGUCGGGCGUGAAAUCCCACGGCUCAACCGUGGAAGUGCACUCGAAACUGCGCAGCUAGAGUCCUGGAGAGGAAGGUGGAAUGCUUGGUGUAGAGGUGAAAUUCGUAGAUAUCAAGCGGAACACCGGUGGCGAAGGCGGGUAACUGGCCAAACACUGACACUCAUCUCCGAAAGCGUGGGGAUCAAACAGG